rnacentral:rRNA from 1 species
AGAGCGAACGCUGGCGGCAGGCCUAACACAUGCAAGUCGAGCGCCCGUAGCAAUACGGGAGCGGCAGACGGGAGAGUAACACGUGGGAACGUACCCUUCAGUUCGGAAUAACCCAGGGAAACUUGGACUAAUACCGAAUACGUCCGUAAGGAGAAAGAUUUAUCGCUGAAGGAUCGGCCCGCGUCUGAUUAGCUUGUUGGUGAGGUAACGGCUCACCAAGGCGACGAUCAGUAGCUGGUCUGAGAGGAUGAUCAGCCACAUUGGGACUGAGACACGGCCCAAACUCCUACGGGAGGCAGCAGUGGGGAAUAUUGGACAAUGGGCGCAAGCCUGAUCCAGCCAUGCCGCGUGAGUGAUGAAGGCCCUAGGGUUGUAAAGCUCUUUUGUGCGGAAGAUAAUGACGGUACCGCAAGAAUAAGCCCGGCUAACUUCGUGCCAGCAGCCGC